GGCUGAUGCCUCAAAGGCUGAUGGCGGCUUCACGUCGAAGAAGGAAUUGCCACUCGUCGUGACUAAAGAAGAAACAGCGCCGACAAUAGCCAAAACAGAUGCAGGAAAUGCAGAAUCCACAGUUACAGAAGUCAAAAAAUAUGCGUUAACAAUAUAACACGUAUUUGGAGCUCGAACAACGCUGACAUGCCAAAAUGUAUUGAGUCGAGGCAUUCAAACUGGCAAUUGCUUCUGUUCUAGCCUUGUUUGGAUAUCUAAGCCAACUCCUUCUCUGUGUUCUGGCUAUUUCAGUAAUUUGUACAGAGGAUGCAAAGACAUUGAAAGACGAAUUAGUUUGGGGACUGCUUAUCAAGGAUUGGUUGUUCAGAUUGAAAAUUGUUGCUGCAGGGACAAUUAUUGUUACGACCAUAGUGGCGGUCUUCCUGUUAUCUUCGCUAUACCGCCUGUAUUAAAAAGAAAAAAAAGCUGAAGCUAACGCACCAAUUAUUAAAACAAAAAGUUGCUGCUCAAUUUGUGAAAAAGUUUUCGCUGGAACUCGCAUUCAUUCCGUGGAUGUUAAUUUUAUUAGCUUCCGUCACGCUGAUAAAAGGAGAACCGAAAUGGGAUGAUUACCAGAAAAGGGUGUUCAAUUUCUGCUCACUCUCAAUAUUCUCUUUUGUUGCGUCGACAUCGUUUUUCUCGCUGAAAUGUCAUUCUCCAAAACAUUAUUCAAACAGUGAAUUAUGGGUUCUUCUCAUUUUGUGGAUUGUUUGCGCGUUAUUUCUAUGGGCACCUUCUUUUCUCGGAAUAUAUGUACACGUUAGUACAAUCGUGUCUCCCCAACUCGCGUUUUCGUUACAAUUCUCCGUUGUCCGAUUCGGUUUCUUAAAAAACUCGCUCAAUAAAGUAAUAUUGAUUUCUAACGUACCAUCAAAUCCCACACAAAAUCAGACUGCCCCACCUGCCAUUGAAUUGAACUAG
rnacentral:misc_RNA from 1 species